rnacentral:rRNA from 1 species
AACCUUCUGUAUCGUAUCUUGACGUCUGAGCAGAAACCACUGAAUCGUUAAAACUUUCAACAACGGAUCUCUUGGUUCUGGCAUCGAUGAAGAACGCAGCAAACUGCGAUAAGUAAUGCGAAUUGCAGAAUUCAGCGAGUCAUCGAAUCUUUGAACGCACAUUGCGCC